GAAAGUUUUACAUUUCUUCCAAUAGAAAAGAAAUGGUUAGAUUUAAAGCCAUAUAUGCUUAGGGCUGAGACUGUCAAGAAAUUGUACAACUAUAUUUGAUGGCAACAAUAAGGGGUGAGUUAUGAAAGUUAGGUUUAGGGUGAAAGGCAUCAUAGUGUAGCAGAGAGGACAUUGACUUAUGUGUCCCUCAAACUGGAAGUUAGACUUACUCUGCCAUGAAGUGGCUUGAUGCCGCCAACUUCUUUUUAACCUUUAAAAGUUCUCCAUUCUAAAAACUGUGGUAUUAGUGUGACAGGAUCAUCUCUAGGAUCCCUUUCAGCACAUAGGUUCUGUAGUUUCAAACUCAUGUGUCACCAGCUGCGUUUUCUUUGGCUAACGAAUGGAUUGCUUGUCCAGUUGUUCUUUUUAAGUGAUACUGAGGUUUCUAAGACUUUAAUGAGAUGUACUCACCUGUCAGGCCAAGAGCCCAUUGGCUGUCUUCUCACAGGCAUUAGACCGAAGGACCUUAGAAGCACAGCAAUGGAAUAAAAUCCCAUUUGUCCAUUUUAUUUCAUACAGGGUUUCAUAUCCGCAGGAGAAAUUUGAUUUUUUAUUUGUCCUAAUAUGUUAAAGUCCAUUUAUUAUUUUUAACCUUUCUAGGACUGUUUCCUUGGGCCCUCAGUCUAAUGCUGUCCACCACCCGUGAGCAAAACUCUUUCUACGGCAAGAAACAUCGAAUAUCUGUAGUGGCUCCCACAGAGGAACCACAGAAGCAGGAUUGCCCGGGGCGCACAGUUCAGCUGAACCGACAGCCAGUGUGUAGAAGUUACCAGGUAACACAGAUGCAUAUUGUCACAAUAAAGAGGCACAAAUGCCCUCUGCUUUUUUUUCCUGGCAGGGAGGCUUUAAAACAAGAAGACCGACUUAUGAGACAGUUUGGCUCUGAGCAGUGCGAGACAUUGAGUCAGAUCAUGGCAAGAAAAAAUCCAGACAUGGUUUAUAUUGAAAUAACAUGCUUCUCACACAGAGCACAUUCUUUGGGGAGGCAUACGUAUGCACCAGAAUGGAUUUUUUAA
rnacentral:lncRNA from 10 species